CCUACGGGAGGCAGCAGUGGGGAAUAUUGCACAAUGGAGGAAACCCUGAUGCAGCGACGCCGCGUGCGUGAAGAAGUAUUUCGGUACGUAAAGCUCUAUCAGCAGGGAAGAAAAUGACGGUACCUGACUAAGAAGCCCCGGCUAACUACGGGCCAGCAGCCGCGGUAAUACGUAGGGGGCAAGCGUUAUCCGGAUUUACUGGGUGUAAAGGGAGCGUAGACGGCAGCGCAAGUCUGGAGUGAAAUCCCAUGGCUGAACCAUGGAACUGCUUUGGAAACUGUGGAGCUAGAGUGCAGGAGAGGUAAGCGGAAUGCCUAGUGUAGCGGUGAAAUGCGUAGAGAUGAGGCGGAACACCAGUGGCGAAGGCGGCUUACUGGACUGUAACUGACGUUGAGGCUCGAAAGCGUGGGGAGCAAACAGGAUUAGAUACCCCGGUAGUC
rnacentral:rRNA from 1 species